UACGGAGGUGGCAAGCGUUAUCCGGAUUCACUGGGUUUAAAGGGUGCGUAGGUGGGUUGGUAAGUCAGUGGUGAAAUCCCCGAGCUUAACUUGGGAACUGCCAUUGAUACUAUCAGUCUUGAAUACCGUGGAGGUUAGCGGAAUAUGUCAUGUAGCGGUGAAAUGCUUAGAUAUGACAUAGAACACCAAUUGCGAAGGCAGCUGGCUACACGAAUAUUGACACUGAGGCACGAAAGCGUGGGGAUCAAACAGG
rnacentral:rRNA from 1 species